UGCACAAAGGAGAGCCCCCUUCUUUUCUCUCCUGGGAGCGCUAAGCAAUAGAUUAAAACAAGCAUCAAUCAAGAAAAGGACCCAAGUAACUGCUUAAAGAAACAAGACAGAAUUCCUCUCUUCUUGAAAGGGACUCCUCACUUCUCUGCGUAUCUCCAUGGUUUCCUAAGGAUCAUGCCUGUGAGCGUCUAUUUUGAUACUGCUCCAAGAGAGGAUUGAAAGGAGAGAGCGUCUCUUCAAAAGAUCAUUCAGAUCAGACUUGCCUUUUAAUACGUGCUUUUGAAAAUAUUAAAAGCUGGAGAAUUUGAUCGUUA